UAUUAAUUAACUUUAUUAUGGUAAUUUAACUUAAAUAAAAUAAAACUAGAACUAAGCAUGAAUUGAACUGAACUUAAAAUAAUAAUUGAAUUUGAAAUAAUACAAAUAUAUAAAUAUCGAUAACCUUACCCACCUGAACACCCCCAUUCCCCGAUCAACACUGCACCCGUUCUCAUCAAGCCACAGUAAACCAUAACUACCGUGCACGCUCCCACACACUGAGAGCGCACCCCAUAAAACCGGCUGUCAUCGCUGGAAAAUUGAUCAGAAGGAAAUAAAGUUGACCCGUGCCAAAGUGUGAAGUGGUAAAGUGCGCCAUUCGAUUAGAACCAGAAUAACGUUACCCGCUGGUGAGCCUAUCACUGGAGUGCGACAUCAUUUGUGUCCGGAAGAAGAAACCGUCGGGAGAGUGAAGAAGAAGCCGCCAUCGAGCGAAACUCGUGUGGAAUCCGGCAAAUCAGUGCUUUCGAAAAAAAAACCGUUUUGCUUCGUCCGGUUAGUUGCCGCUCCGGAAAAGAGGACCCGGCUGGCGCGCCACGUUUUCGACAGAUCCGUCUGUGCUUCGUGCAGGCAGUUGCCCCAAGAGCCGGCUGGCACGCCACGUUUUCGACCAUCGAUCUGUGAGUAAAGGCAAGCGUCCGAGUAAUGAAGGAAGACACUAGGCUCAUGUGUUCAGCACACCGCCAUCGCUUAACCCGGAGGUCACCGUGUCACGGAUCGCCCAGAGACUCCAUCCACCGUCAGAUGCACUGAUAAUUGCCAGGAGGAUUAUUCCGCAAUGCCUACAGAUAGCUACGAUGCGCACCCUUAUCCUCGCCACGGACUGGACCCAGGGCUGAAACACUCAAAGUGGUCACCGUGUGGCGGGAGGUGCGCAGCUUCGGGUGCUGCAGGUGGCAUCUUAUGCGUGACAAAAAUACUAUAGAAGUAAUAAAAUGAAAAGAAUAAGCUAA